rnacentral:rRNA from 1 species
AGCUCCAAUAGCGUAUCUUAAUGUUGUUGCAGUUAAAAAGCUCGUAGUCGAAUUUCUGACCGAGGCAGUUCAGUAUGACUGUUACUAACCUUAGGUCAUCCGCUUGAAAAUUUUGAUGGUGCUUCACCGCUCCUCUUUAGGAUCAGGCAUUUUACUUUGAAGAAAUUAGAGUGUUUCAGGCAGGCUUAGCUUGAAUACACCAGCAUGGAAUAAUGGAAUAGGACCUCUAUCCUUUACUGGUUAAUGAUAUAGGUAAUGAUUAACAGGGACAGUUGGGGGCAUUCGUACUUCGAAGUCAGAGGUGAAAUUCUUCGAUUUUCGAAAGACGAACUAAUGCGAAGGCAUCUGCCAAGGAUGUUUUCA